rnacentral:misc_RNA from 1 species
CAACCUCCCCUCAAGCACGGCUUUGGAGAUGGGGGGCACGUCCAUCCCCAAGGACGCCCCCGAAACGUAGCGGCGGCCGUCGCGGAACGACACCCGAGCGAAUGGGACUCCAACGCUCCGGUGUGAGCCCACGGCGAGCUGGCCUUUUAGGGGCGAGAGAUCGCCCCACGACCCCCUUAUA